rnacentral:misc_RNA from 1 species
AAGUCGUAACAAGGUCUCCGUAGGUGAACCUGCGGAGGGAUCAUUAAACAAAUCUAAUAUACCAUUGAAAGCAAUAAUGUAUAGCUAUUAGCUAUAUGUUAUUCUUUCCAAGGUAGGCAUAAAGUGAAAUUUCGUGAAAUAUCGUAAAUUUCACUUUAUGUCUUAUGGAGCAAAGUGUCAUAAGUAGUAGUUAAUGCUACUACUUUUUAUGCUUGGCUCUGAUAAAGUCAGGAAUUGCUUAGGCGAUGACUGUCUUUAUAACACACGAUAUAAAAUUGACAUAUAAUGACAAAAUUAAAACAACAACUUUUAACAAUGGAUCUCUUGGCUCUUAC